CUCAACCGUGGAAUUGCUCGGUAUACUGCGGGUCUUGAGGUCGGUAGAGGUUGUCGGAACUCUAGGUGGAGCGGUGAAAUGCGUAGAUAUCUAGAGGAACGCCAAAGGUGAAGACAGGCAACUGGACCGAUUCUGACGCUCAGGCACGAAAGCGUGGGUAGCGAACGGGAUUAGAUACCCCGGUAGUCCACGCCCUAAACGAUGCGCACUAGAUCGUGGAGGUUUUGACGCCAUCGCGAUCGAAGCAAAAGUGUUAAGUGCGCCGCCUGGGGAGUACGGUCGCAAGGCUAAAACUCAAAGGAAUUGACGGGGGCUCACACAAGCGGUGGAGCAUGUGGCUUAAUUCGAAGCAACGCGAAGAACCUUAUCCUGGGUUUGACAUGUAUGGAUUAGUCUCCCGAAAGGGAGAUGACGCCCUUGGGUGGAACA
rnacentral:rRNA from 1 species